GGGUCAGCAGGUUGGUCGUGCCACUGGUAUGUACUGGCUUCGCUGAUUCCUCCUUUCUGAAGAACUGUAAUGUCAUUAAUUUGGUGUUGCAGGGAAACGGGACUGUUACUUUGAAAAAAUUAGAGUGUUUAAAUCAGGCUAACGCUUGAAAUACAUUAGCAUGGAAUAAUGAAAUAGGACGUUCGAUCCUAUUUUUGUUGGUUUCUAGGGAUUGACGUAAUGAUUAAUAGGGAUAGUUGGGC
rnacentral:rRNA from 1 species